rnacentral:rRNA from 1 species
AGGGCGGGAGCCGCACAUCUCCUUCGGGAGUGACGCUUGUGGAACGAGCGGCGGACGGGUGAGUAACACGUGGGCAACCUACCUGUAAGACUGGGAUAACUCCGGGAAACCGGGGCUAAUACCGGAUGAAACAAAGCGUCGCAUGACGCAAUGUUAAAAGGCGGCAUAUGCUGUCACUUACAGAUGGGCCCGCGGCGCAUUAGCUAGUUGGUGAGGUAAAGGCUCACCAAGGCAACGAUGCGUAGCCGACCUGAGAGGGUGAUCGGCCACACUGGGACUGAGACACGGCCCAGACUCCUACGGGAGGCAGCAGUAGGGAAUCUUCCGCAAUGGACGAAAGUCUGACGGAGCAACGCCGCGUGAGUGAUGAAGGUUUUCGGAUCGUAAAACUCUGUUGUUAGGGAAGAACAAGUGCCAUUCGAAUAGGUUGGCACCUUGACGGUACCUAACCAGAAAGCCCCGGCUAACUACGUGCCAGCAGCCGCGGUAAUACGUAGGGGGCAAGCGUUGUCCGGAAUUAUUGGGCGUAAAGCGCGCGCAGGCGGUCCUUUAAGUCUGAUGUGAAAGCCCACGGCUUAACCGUGGAGGGCCAUUGGAAACUGGAGGACUUGAGUACAGAAGAGGAGAGUGGAAUUCCACGUGUAGCGGUGAAAUGCGUAGAGAUGUGGAGGAACACCAGUGGCGAAGGCGACUCUCUGGUCUGUAACUGACGCUGAGGUGCGAAAGCGUGGGUAGCGAACAGGAUUAGAUACCCUGGUAGUCCACGCCGUAAACGAUGAGUGCUAGUGUUAAGGGGUUUCCGCCCCUUAGUGCUGAAGUUAACGCAUUAAGCACUCCGCCUGGGGAGUACGGCCGCAAGGCUGAAACUCAAAAGAAUUGACGGGACCCGCACAAGCGGUGGAGCAUGUGGUUUAAUUCGAAGCAACGCGAAGAACCUUACCAGUCUUGACAUCCUCUGACACCCCCUAGAGAUAGGCAUUCCCUUCGGGGACAGAGUGACAGUGUGCAUGGUUGUCGUCAGCUCGUGUCGUGAGAUGUUGGGUUAAGUCCCGCAACGAGCGCAA